rnacentral:rRNA from 1 species
UACGGGGGGGGCAAGCGUUGUUCGGAAUUACUGGGCGUAAAGGGCUCGUAGGCGGCCAACUAAGUCAGACGUGAAAUCCCUCGGCUUAACCGGGGAACUGCAUCUGAUACUGGAUGGCUUGAGUUUGGGAGAGGGAUGCGGAAUUCCAGGUGUAGCGGUGAAAUGCGUAGAUAUCUGGAGGAACACCGGUGGCGAAGGCGGCAUCCUGGGCCAACACUGACGCUGAGGAGCGAAAGCGAGGGGAGCAAACGGG